rnacentral:rRNA from 1 species
UAAGCGGAGGAAAAGAAACCAACAGGGAUUGCCUUAGUAGCGGCGAGUGAAGCGGCAAUAGCUCAAAUUUGAAAUCUGGCGUCUUCGGCGUCCGAGUUGUAAUUUGAAGAAGGUAUCUUUGGUUUUGGCUCUUGUCUAUGUUCCUUGGAACAGGACGUCACAGAGGGUGAGAAUCCCGUGCGAUGAGAUGCCCAAUUCCAUGUAAAGUUCCUUCGACGAGUCGAGUUGUUUGGGAAUGCAGCUCUAAGUGGGUGGUAAAUUCCAUCUAAAGCUAAAUAUUGGCGAGAGACCGAUAGCGAACAAGUACUGUGAAGGAAAGAUGAAAAGAACUUUGAAAAGAGAGUGAAAAAGUACGUGAAAUUGUUGAAAGGGAAGGGCUUGAGAUCAGACUUGGAAUUUUCCAGUAAUGGAGCUUUCCGGGCCAGCAUCAGUUUGGACGGCAGGAUAAUUGCGUGGGAAAGUGGCACUACUUCGGUGGUGUGUUAUAGCCCGCGUCGAUACUGCCUGUCUAGACUGAGGACUGCGUCUUUGACUAGGAUGCUGGCAUAAUGAUCUUAAGCCGCCCGUCUUGA